UGGACCGGUCAACCCCCCUGGCGGGGAUUAAUACUGGCCGAUGACCAAGAUACUGGAUAUUCUUGAUGCAAGAAAAAAGUAGAUGUGUAUUUUACCGUUUUAGAUAUAAAUUACAAUAUUUGAUUAUUGUUAUGAACAGUAAAUCUUCAGUUGUCAUGCUUAAUUAUGCGUGAAUUGAUCACCUUUAUAAUAGAAUAUCGUGUUUUUUGGCUGAGGAAUUGAAACCUUUUGUUUAACAUUAUGAAAUAGUUCCUUUGCAUGAUUUAAUUAAGUAUGGUUAGGAAAUAGAUAGCCCCUACCGAGUUCUUACCAAGCAUUUGCAAUAACAUGAAAAACAGGAUUCAUUUUGCUAAUCAGAAAUACAGGAUAAACUGAAGUGUAAUGGUUUUAAAAUACAUUACAACUUUCUGCAUUUAACGUUGUUGAUAAUGCAUAAACGAACAUUGGCAUACAAAUGGGCUGAAACAACCAAA